rnacentral:misc_RNA from 1 species
GAUGAAGAAUGCAGCGAAAUGCGAUAAGUAGUGUGAAUUGCAGAAUUCAGUGAAUCAUCGAAUCUUUGAACGCACAUUGCGCCCCUUGGUAUCCCGAGGGGCAUGCCUGUUCGAGCGUCAUUUCACCACUCAAGCCUGGCUUGGUGUUGGGCGACGUCCUCUUUGGGGACGCGCCUCGAAACGCUCGGCGGCGUGGCACCGGCUUUAAGCGUAGCAGAAUCUUUCGCUUUGGAAGUCGGGGCCCCGUCUACCGGAAGACCUGCUCGCAAGGUUGACCUCGGAUCAGGCAGGGAUACCCGCUGAACUUAAGCAUAUCAAUAAGCGGAGGA